UACGGGGGGAGCAAGCGUUGUUCGGAUUUACUGGGCGUAAAGGGCGCGUAGGCGGAUCUUUAAGUCGGGGGUGAAAGCCUGAGGCUCAACCUCAGAAUUGCCUUCGAUACUGGAGAUCUUGAGACCGGAAGAGGUAAGUGGAACUGCGAGUGUAGAGGUGAAAUUCGUAGAUAUUCGCAAGAACACCAGUGGCGAAGGCGGCUUACUGGUCCGGUUCUGACGCUGAGGCGCGAAAGCGUGGGGAGCAAACAGG
rnacentral:rRNA from 1 species